rnacentral:rRNA from 1 species
UACGGGGGGAGCAAGCGUUGUUCGGAUUUACUGGGCGUAAAGGGCGCGUAGGCGGCCACCGCAAGUCGACUGUGAAAUCUCCGGGCUUAACCCGGAAAGGUCAGCCGAUACUGCGGGGCUAGAGUGCAGAAGGGGCAACUGGAAUUCUCGGUGUAGCGGUGAAAUGCGUAGAUAUCAGGAGGAACACCGGUGGCGAAGGCGGAUCUCUGGGCCUUACCUGACGCUCAGGUGCGAAAGCUAGGGGAGCGAACAGG